GGGACAACAUCCCGAAAGGGGUGCUAAUACCGAAUGUGACAGCAAUCUCGCAUGAGGAUGCUGUGAAAGAUGGCCUCUAUUUAUAAGCUAUCGCUAGAGGAUGGGCCUGCGCCUGAUUAGCUAGUUGGUGGGGUAACGGCCUACCAAGGCGAUGAUCAGUAGCCGGUCUGAGAGGAUGAACGGCCACAUUGGGACUGAGACACGGCCCAGACUCCUACGGGAGGCAGCAGUGGGGAAUCUUCCGCAAUGGGCGAAAGCCUGACGGAGCAAUGCCGCGUGAGUGAUGAAGGAAUUCGUUCCGUAAAGCUCUUUUGUUUAUGACGAAUGUGCAGAUUGUGAACAAUGAUCUGUAAUGACGGUAGUAAACGAAUAAGCCACGGCUAACUACGUGCCAGCAGCCGCGGUAAUACGUAGGUGGCGAGCGUUGUCCGGAAUUAUUGGGCGUAAAGAGCAUGUAGGCAGUUUUUUAAGUCUGGAGUGAAAAUGCGGGGCUCAACCCCGUAUGGCUCUGGAUACUGGAAGACUUGAGUGCAGGAGAGGAAAGGGGAAUUCCCAGUGUAGCGGUGAAAUGCGUAGAUAUUGGGAGGAACACCAGUGGCGAAGGCGCCUUUCUGGACUGUGUCUGACGCUGAGAUGCGAAAGCCAGGGUAGCGAACGGGAUUAGAUACCCCGGUAGUCCUGGCCGUAA
rnacentral:rRNA from 1 species